rnacentral:rRNA from 1 species
AUUGAACGCUGGCGGCAUGCCUUACACAUGCAAGUCGAACGGUAACAGGUCUUCGGAUGCUGACGAGUGGCGAACGGGUGAGUAAUACAUCGGAACGCGCCUAGUAGUGGGGGAUAACUACUCGAAAGAGUGGCUAAUACCGCAUGAGAUCUACGGAUGAAAGCAGGGGAUCGAAAGACCUUGUGCUACUAGAGCGGCCGAUGGCAGAUUAGGUAGUUGGUGGGAUAAAAGCUUACCAAGCCGACGAUCUGUAGCUGGUCUGAGAGGACGAUCAGCCACACUGGGACUGAGACACGGCCCAGACUCCUACGGGGGCAGCAGUGGGGAAUUUUGGACAAUGGGCGAAAGCCUGAUCCAGCAAUGCCGCGUGCAGGAUGAAGGCCUUCGGGUUGUAAACUGCUUUUGUACGGAACGAAAAGCCCUGGGUUAAUACCCUGGGGUCAUGACGGUACCGUAAGAAUAAGCACCGGCUAACUACGUGCCAGCAGCCGCGGUAAAAC